rnacentral:rRNA from 1 species
UGGGGAAUAUUGGACAAUGGGCGAAAGCCUGAUCCAGCCAUGCCGCGUGUGUGAAGAAGGCCUUUUGGUUGUAAAGCACUUUGAGCGAGGAGGAGGCUACUUGGAUUAAUACUCUAGGAUAGUGGACGUUACUCGCAGAAUAAGCACCGGCUAACUCUGUGCCAGCAGCCGCGGUAAUACAGAGGGUGCGAGCGUUAAUCGGAUUUACUGGGCGUAAAGCGUGCGUAGGCGGCUUCUUAAGUCGGAUGUGAAAUCCCUGAGCUUAACUUAGGAAUUGCAUUCGAUACUGGGAAGCUAGAGUAUGGGAGAGGAUGGUAGAAUUCCAGGUGUAGCGGAGAAAUGCGUAGAGAUCUGGAGGAAUACCGAUGGCGAAGGCAGCCAUCUGGCCUAAUACUGACGCUGAGGUACGAAAGCAUGGGGAGCAAACAGG